UGUAUCUGUAUUGUAUGGUCGUAUGUGUUUUGUAGUUAAGUCGUGAGAGUUGCGUCCCAUUGUAUGAUAAUGAUGCAUAUUUGUCAUGUGAUGUUAUCUGUCUCUUUGAAAUAAACGUGCUAUGGAAAUAGACGUGUUUUUGUUGCUCUUAAGCAAAUAUAACUUUAGCGGCAUGGGAGGCAAGUAUAUAUGUCCCCCAUGUACGUAAUAUGGUGGAGGACUUCAAAACGACCCCUUUAUAUGUAUUUUAUGUGAGCUGUCCCCAAAGAUGAAGCAUCAACUUUCUGAAAGUCUAGACAACGAGGCUGGCGGCGCCAUUAUAACAUUUUGACCACGUUGGACUCUUGGCAUUUUCGUUCAGUGGAGUUUAGCUGUACCAUGCAGU
rnacentral:lncRNA from 1 species